rnacentral:rRNA from 1 species
UACGUAGGGUGCGAGCGUUAAUCGGAAUUACUGGGCGUAAAGCGUGCGCAGGCGGUUUUGUAAGACAGAGGUGAAAUCCCCGGGCUCAACCUGGGAACUGCCUUUGUGACUGCAAAGCUGGAGUGCGGCAGAGGGGGAUGGAAUUCCGCGUGUAGCAGUGAAAUGCGUAGAUAUGCGGAGGAACACCGAUGGCGAAGGCAAUCCCCUGGGCCUGCACUGACGCUCAUGCACGAAAGCGUGGGGAGCAAACAGGAAUUAGAU